rnacentral:rRNA from 1 species
GACGAACGCUGGCGGCGUGCUUAACACAUGCAAGUCGAGCGGAAAGGCCCUUUCGGGGGUACUCGAGCGGCGAACGGGUGAGUAACACGUGAGUAAUCUGCCCUGCACUCUGGGAUAGCCUUGGGAAACUGAGAUUAAUACCGGAUAUGACACAUCUUCGCAUGGGGGUGUGUGGAAAGUUUUUUCGGUGCGGGAUGUGCUCGCGGCCUAUCAGCUUGUUGGUGGGGUAAUGGCCUACCAAGGCUUCGACGGGUAGCCGGCCUGAGAGGGUGACCGGCCACACUGGGACUGAGACACGGCCCAGACGCCUACGGGAGGCAGCAGUGGGGAAUAUUGGACAAUGGGCGGAAGCCUGAUCCAGCAACGCCGCGUGAGGGAUGACGGCCUUCGGGUUGUAAACCUCUUUCAGCAGCCACGAAGCGAAAGUGACGGUAGCUGCAGAAGAAGGACCGGCCAACUACGUGCCAGCCGCCGCGGUAAUAC